GUUCCCAUAUAACGAAUUAGGGUUUUAAAAUUCCCGAAACUGAAAUUAGGGUUUCUAGAACCGGUUUCUAGGGUUUCUUGUAACUCGCUAGGGUUUUCUAACCGAACGUUGACGUUCUUAAUAUAUACUUAGGGUUUGUUACAGAUAUCGUUUAUCUGAUCAACCAUUGACCCUUAACCACAUACUGUACACAUAUACACAGAACAUAUUCACGUAUUCCCUUAAUCCUGAAUAAUUCACCUAACUCCUUCACAAAAUUUUAAAAUCCUCAAAAUUCCUUCUAAAAAAUAUCAAACGCAUACACUUAUUUUCUGUCUAG
rnacentral:lncRNA from 1 species